GCUUAUGCAAAUUUCUCUGUGAUGAGCUAAGCUUUUACCUUGGGACACCUAUGAAUUGCCUUAAUUAGUGUAAUGUUAUAAGUGCUGAUAAAUAAUUAAACUACUAUGAAUUUACUUAUGCAAUUAAUAUUAAUAGUUUUCCUUGUUCUAUUGCAGUCUCAUAAACAACUCAACCUUAUAUCAAUUGGAGUCUUGGAACACAUUUGCUAUAGCUGAAAAGCUAUUUUGUGCUUCGGAUUCUAUGAUUGGUUGACAUCUAAAAUAUUUACUAGUUUAAAUAUCGAAUUGGUAAUGCUUAGACGUAGAAUGCACAUUAAUACACACAUACACAACCACUAAACGACUGCCUAUUUAUAUUUAUACUAGAUUUAAUUGUUGCAUAAAGUCAACAUUUGUGCAUCAUAUUUAAUUGCCACACUUCUGUAAUUUAAGCCACAAUAUUACUCUAAUAAUAAUAAUAAAUGUAUACAAAGCACAAA